rnacentral:lncRNA from 1 species
GGUGAGGCAGCCAUAUUGUGACCAUGAGGGAAAGACCAUGAGAACUGAAGGGAAAUGGACUCAGAACCCAGAUAUUGUAAGGCUCCUGGAGUCAAGGAGGAAAUAUAUAAAUGUGCAGCAGAUAUGACUUCAUCUCCAAUUUGCUGCCCCUUGAGAGUAUGGCGACCCAAAAGAAGAAGAGAAAAGGGAGUCAGUGAUAUCAACCUCCUCAGCAAGUGACGAUUUCACCCUUCCAACUUCUAUAGUGGAAGACACGCAAAGGAGAAGAGUACUGGGAAUGGAAGCAUGGGUUGGCCACCAAGCAGCAUUUGC